rnacentral:rRNA from 1 species
AUUGAACGCUGGCGGCAUGCCUUACACAUGCAAGUCGAACGGUAACGGGCCUUCGGGUGCCGACGAGUGGCGCACGGGUGAGUAAUACAUCGGAACGUGCCCGAUCGUGGGGGAUAACGAGGCGAAAGCUUUGCUAAUACCGCAUACGAUCUACGGAUGAAAGCAGGGGACCGCAAGGCCUUGCGCGGACGGAGCGGCCGAUGGCAGAUUAGGUAGUUGGUGGGAUAAAAGCUUACCAAGCCGACGAUCUGUAGCUGGUCUGAGAGGAUGAUCAGCCACACUGGGACUGAGACACGGCCCAGACUCCUACGGGAGGCAGCGGUGGGGAAUUUUGGACAAUGGGCGCAAGCCUGAUCCAGCCAUGCCGCGUGCAGGAUGAAGGCCUUCGGGUUGUAAACUGCUUUUGUACGGAACGAAAAGCCUUCUUUUAAUACAGGAGGGUCAUGACGGUACCGUAAGAAUAAGCACCGGCUAACUACGUG